AUUGAACGCUGGCGGCAGGCCUAACACAUGCAAGUCGAACGAGUGGCGGACGGGUGAGUAAUGUCUGGGAAACUGCCCAAUGGAGGGGGAUAACUACUGGAAACGGUAGCUAAUACCGCAUACCAUCGGAUGUGCCUAGAUGGGAUUAGCUAGUAGGUGGGGAAAAGGCUCACCUAGGCGACGAUCCCUAGCUGGUCUGAGAGGAUGACCGGCCACACUGGAACUGAGACACGGCCCAGACUCCUACGUGAGGCAGCAGUGGGGAAUAUUGCACAAUGGGCGCAAGCCUGAUGCAGCCAUGCCGCGUGUAGGAAGAAGGCCUUCGGGUUGUAAAGUACUUUCAGCGGGGAGGCGUUACCCGCAGAAGAAGCACCGGCUAACUCCGUGCCAGCAGCCGCGGUAAUUC
rnacentral:rRNA from 1 species